UCUCCGUUGGUGAACCAGCGGAGGGAUCAUUACCGAGUUUACAACUCCCAAACCCAAUGUGAACCAUACCAAACUGUUGCCUCGGCGGGGUCACGCCCCGGGUGCGUCGCAGCCCCGGAACCAGGCGCCCGCCGGAGGGACCAACCAAACUCUUUCUGUAGUCCCCUCGCGGACGUUAUUUUUGCAGCUCUGAGCAAAAAUUCAAAAUGAAUCAAAACUUUCAACAACGGAUCUCUUGGUUCUG
rnacentral:misc_RNA from 1 species